GGGCGGCUAGCUCAAUGGCAGAGCACUGCAUUCACAUUGCAGGGGUUAUAGGUUCGAAUCCUAUGCCGCCCACCA
rnacentral:tRNA from 1 species